CUGCUGGGUGCAUCUUAUCAAUGAAGUAUGAGCAUCAUGUGGGGGUAAUUAAAAAAGCUACAAUUAGCAGCCCCCACAUGUUCCACUUGCACAUGAGAGGUUCAAUGCAUUGUACACAAAUUAGCAAGCAUGUGUCUCUGAGCAUUACCCCGUAUGCAGGCCCCCAUUUAGAUAUAUUCGCAUUCGCCACCACCCCCUUCCAUCCCUUCUCUCACAUGAGCUCCAAACCAUCUUCCCUAGCUUCCUAGCAUAUUCAUUGAACUAAAUUUUCCUAUCCUCUGAUAAAUAUAGGGUCUCAAGUACUCCUUUCUUAUCUUCAAACCUCUAUCUCGAGACCUCUUUAAAUUCUCUCCCAAAAUGGUUUUUGCCAGCUUCAAUGAAGAGAUCUAUCUAUCGUUUGCAAUCUCAAUACUAGUGUUUUUCUAUCUCGUUCUCGUAGUCUUGGAGUCUCCAUGGAGCAAUAGUGGUGGAGUUUGUAUCUUGCCCCUGGAUUGUUGCUUUCCAGCACUUAGAGUUGCAGAAAAUAUGUCAACAGUGAGUGAUUCCAAAGGGAAGGCGAGAAAUGGACUGAUCUAUGGGAAUCUGCACUAGAUAAAUAUAAUAUAUAAACUUUCUAGGCUACAUAUAUUGGAUUUUGUAUUCUUGGUGUUUUUCUUUCCCUGGCCUGCACCUUCUUGAUUUCGGGACUCUUGCUUUAGGAAUUCAGUUCUCAAGAAUUCAUGAUCAUGUGGCCUGGGUUGAGUUCUUGGGAUCUAAAUUUCAAUUGGCAGAUAUUGCAUCUACAACUAUAAGCAUCUACGAUCUCAUAACAAUUAAUACUGAUAACUCAUGCGACUGAGAGCUCAAAUUUGUAGUGCUUAACUAGAAAUCAAUUGGGAUCAUUAAUCCACCUAUCAAACAAUAUUAUUGUCAUCGAAAGCGAAACAAUAGCAUGAAAUCAUGCUCUCCAUUUAUAUGUUUUCCAUAUCGACCCAAGUAGACAUACAUGUGUGUGUAAGUCUUCUUCUGGUUCAGAAGUUAUUGGUUCCUAAUUAAUUUUCAGUGAGACUUGGGUUGGGUAAUAUCUUCCUAUUUGGUACAGUUCUCAA